rnacentral:rRNA from 1 species
GGACUACCCGGGUUUCUAAUCCUGUUUGCUCCCCACGCUUUCGCGCCUCAGCGUCAGUAUCGGUCCAGAGAGCCGCCUUCGCCACCGGUGUUCUUCCCAAUAUCUACGAAUUUCACCUCUACACUGGGAAUUCCACUCUCCUCUCCCGAUCUCUAGCCAUCCCGUAUCAAGCGCAGUUCCCAGGUUAAGCCCGGGGCUUUCACGCCUGACAAAAAUAGCCGCCUGCGCGCCCUUUACGCCCAGUAAAUCCGAACAACGCUCGCCCCCUUCGUAUUACCGCGGCUGCUGGCAC